rnacentral:lncRNA from 13 species
AUGCCAUUUCACAUUCCCACCAACAAUGCACAUCUGCACCAACUGCACCAACUACGCAUUCUACAUGUCUGUACCAACUACGUCUUCUACAUCUGCACCAACUAUGCCUUCUACACAUCUGCACCAACUACGCCUUCUACGCAUCUGCAGCAACUACGCCUUCUACGCAUCUGCACCAACUACACAUUCUACGCAUCUGCACCAACUACGCAUUCUACACAUCUGCACCAACACUUGAGUCUUGCUCUGUCACCAGGCUGGAGUAAAGUGGCGAGAUCUUGACUCACUGCAACCUCUGCCUCCUGGGUUCAAGUGAUUCUCCUGCCUCAGCCUCUGGAGUAGCUGGGACUACAGGUACACACCACUGUGCCCAGCUAAUUUUUGUAUUUUUAGUAGAGAUGGGGUUUCACCAUGUUGGGGCCAGGAUGCUCUUGAUCUCUUGACCCUGUGAUCCACCUGCCUUGGCCUGCCGAAGUGCUGGGGUUACAGGUGUAAGACAGUGUGCCUAGCCCCUGAUUUCUUCUAUAAAACCAAAGCUUUGAUAUUAAUGUGUGGGAAGUCAAAAACACUAUUGCCUUGGUAAAAACCUAUUGUAAUUGGGGAAUGGGAACAGAAAAAGGCACGUGUACUGGGCCAAGAAAUACAACUUGGGUAAGGGCGCGAGCACUGAGAAAACCACACCCUGAAGCCCAGAGACUUAGUGCCUGCCUAAGACCGACACUUUGCAGACCACUCUCUCCAACCAUCAAGCCAACAAUCACCAAGUAAUAAGAAACAGUAGAAUAUACCUGGGAGAGUUUCAAAAGCAUGAGACACACCCACUGUGAGGCACAGUGCAAAGGAAAGACCUAGAGUGGAGUGAAGCAAACAUUGAGAAAGAUCCUCUGGCAUGCCAGCUUGCACCUCAAACCCAGAGUGUCAUCAGAGAAAUUUGAGGCUUGUGGUACACUGAGGGUAACCAUAGCAACAACAAACUGAAGCAUAAUUUCUGACCAGAUUAACUCAACCUCCCAUACUAAAGGCUUAGGAAAAGGAAAGACAUGUCCAUUUCCAGUCAUAAAAAGAAUUUUCCAUAGUCCUGUUCUCCUCAGUAAGAUGUCUCACUUAGACUCUCCAAAAAAACAAAAUAGAGCUUUUUCUUGAAAGAAAAAGGUAAACAAAAACAAUCCAUUGCCAAUAAACAAAGCAAUCAUCAGGACCA